rnacentral:misc_RNA from 1 species
GCAGUCCCACAGCUUGGGAAGCUUCUCAAACAAAGAUCCACCCAAUUUUUCACAUAAGAACUUCAAGGCAAGUUCAGAUCCACGUCUACUGAUGAAUCCCUCAACCUUUGAACGGUCUUCACCAGGGGAGAGCAUAUGAACUUUUGAUUUAUGUCUAUGACUGCUACUUCCCGAGGAUAGAAGAUCCUGCUCUUCAAUUAUUUCUAUAGAAUUCAAAAUUCCAGCUUGAGGUGUCUCGCAAGGAUCCAUGCAUGUCAAACAACAUAGGUUCUUAAUUAACUUAUCAUUUGGUCCAGGCUUCCGUCCCAUACAACGAUAGAUAAGCUCUGCAAGAGCCUCAGCCGCCUUACUUUGUAAUAUCUCCUCCUGUUCUCUCUUAAUAGAAGCCAUCAAAG